rnacentral:rRNA from 1 species
GCUCAGGAUGAACGCUGGCGGUAUGCUUAACACAUGCAAGUCGAACGGUGUCUUCGGACACAGUGGCGGACGGGUGAGUAACGCGUGAGAAUCUGGCUUCAGGUCGGGGACAACCACUGGAAACGGUGGCUAAUACCGGAUGUGCCGAAAGGUGAAAGAUUUAUUGCCUGAAGAUGAGCUCGCGUCUGAUUAGCUAGUAGGUGUGGUAAGAGCGCACCUAGGCGACGAUCAGUAGCUGGUCUGAGAGGAUGAUCAGCCACACUGGGACUGAGACACGGCCCAGACUCCUACGGGAGGCAGCAGUGGGGAAUUUUCCGCAAUGGGCGAAAGCCUGACGGAGCAAUACCGCGUGAGGGAGGAAGGCUCUUGGGUUGUAAACCUCUUUUCUCAGGGAAGAAAAAAAUGACGGUACCUGAGGAAUAAGCAUCGGCUAACUCCGUGCCAGCAGCCGCGGUAAUACGGAGGAUGCAAGCGUUAUCCGGAAUGAUUGGGCGUAAAGCGUCCGCAGGUGGCUAUGUAAGUCUGCUGUUAAAGAGUGAGGCUCAACCUCAUAAAAGCAGUGGAAACUACAUAGCUAGAGUGCGUUCGGGGCAGAGGGAAUUCCUGGUGUAGCGGUGAAAUGCGUAGAGAUCAGGAAGAACACCGGUGGCGAAAGCGCUCUGCUAGGCCGCAACUGACACUGAGGGACGAAAGCUAGGGGAGCGAAUGGGAUUAGAUACCCCAGUAGUCCUAGCCGUAAACGAUGGAUACUAGGCGUGGCUUGUAUCGACCCGAGCCGUGCCGUAGCUAACGCGUUAAGUAUCCCGCCUGGGGAGUACGCACGCAAGUGUGAAACUCAA